UACAGAGGGUGCAAGCGUUAAUCGGAAUUACUGGGCGUAAAGCGAGCGUAGGUGGCUUGAUAAGUCAGAUGUGAAAUCCCCGGGCUUAACCUGGGAACUGCAUCUGAAACUGUUAGGCUAGAGUAGGUGAGAGGGAAGUAGAAUUUCAGGUGUAGCGGUGAAAUGCGUAGAGAUCUGAAGGAAUACCGAUGGCGAAGGCAGCUUCCUGGCAUCAUACUGACACUGAGGCUCGAAAGCGUGGGUAG
rnacentral:rRNA from 1 species